GACGAACGCUGGCGGCGUGCUUAACACAUGCAAGUCGAACGGAUCGGCAGUGCUUGCACUGUUUGGUUAGUGGCGAACGGGUGAGUAACACGUGAGUAACCUGCCCUCUUCUUUGGGAUAAGCACCUGAAAGGGUGUCUAAUACUGGAUAUUCUGCUGGGACCGCAUGGUUUUGGUUGGAAAGGGUUUCUGGUGGGGGAUGGGCUCGCGGCUUAUCAGCUUGUUGGUGGGGUAAUGGCUUACCAAGGCUUUGACGGGUAACCGGCCUGAGAGGGUGACCGGUCACAUUGGGACUGAGAUACGGCCCAGACUCCUACGGGAGGCAGCAGUGGGGAAUAUUGCACAAUGGGGGGAACCCUGAUGCAGCGACGCCGCGUGAGGGAUGAAGGCCUUCGGGUUGUAAACCUUUUUCGCUUUUGACCAAGUGCCAUAUUUGUAUGGUGUGAGGGUAUGAGGUAAAGAAGCACCGGCUAACUACGUGCCAGCCGCCGCCGUAACAC
rnacentral:rRNA from 1 species